ensembl:lncRNA
GGGGAUAGAAGAAGAUGGGGAUAGAGGAAGAUCAAAAAAGGAUAUGUAGAAGAGGGUGAGAGAUGGAAAGAAAGAGGGAAGGUGUAGGGAGACAGAGAGGGAGAGAGGAAUGUAGGUAGGGAGACAGAGAGGGAGGUAGGGAGACAGAGAGGGAGGUAGGGAGACAGAGAGGGAGACAGAGAGGGAGGUAGGGAGACAGAGAGGGAGGUAGGGAGACAGAGAGGGGGACAGAGAGGGAGACAGAGAAGGAAGAGGGAGGAAGGUAGGUAGGGAGACAGAGAGGGAGGUAGGGAGACAGAGAGGGAGGUAGGGAGACAGAGAGG